GGCGGACGGGUGAGUAACACGUGAGCGAUCUACCCGACAGUGGGGGAUAACCCAGGGAAACCUGAGCUAAUACCGCAUGCGGCGCCGGCUUGGAAGCCGAGCGCGAAAGCGGGCCUCUCAUUGAGCUCGUGCUGUCGGAUGGGCUCGCGGCCUAUCAGCUCGUUGGUGGGGUAACGGCCUACCAAGGCGAUGACGGGUAGCUGGCGUGAGAGCGCGACCAGUCACACUGGGACUGAGACACGGCCCAGACUCCUACGGGAGGCAGCAGUGGGGAAUAUUGCGCAAUGGGCGAAAGCCUGACGCAGCGACGCCGCGUGGGGGAGGAAGGCCUCAGGGUUGUAAACCCCUGUCAGGUGGGACGAACCCCGGAUCGAGUAAUACACGGUUCGAUUGACGGUACCACCAGAGGAAGCUCCGGCUAACUCCGUGCCAGCAGCCGCGGUAAUACGGAGGGAGCGAGCGUUGUUCGGAAUUACUGGGCGUAAAGGGCGC
rnacentral:rRNA from 1 species